AAAUUGAAGAGUUUGAUCAUGGCUCAGAUUGAACGCUGGCGGCAGGCCUAACACAUGCAAGUCGAACGGUAACAGAAAGAAGCUUGCUUCUUUGCUGACGAGUGGCGGACGGGUGAGUAAUGUCUGGGAAACUGCCUGAUGGAGGGGGAUAACUACUGGAAACGGUAGCUAAUACCGCAUAACGUCGCAAGACCAAAGAGGGGGACCUUCGGGCCUCUUGCCAUCGGAUGUGCCCAGAUGGGAUUAGCUUGUUGGUGGGGUAACGGCUCACCAAGGCGACGAUCCCUAGCUGGUCUGAGAGGAUGACCAGCCACACUGGAACUGAGACACGGUCCAGACUCCUACGGGAGGCAGCAGUGGGGAAUAUUGCACAAUGGGCGCAAGCCUGAUGCAGCCAUGCCGCGUGUAUGAAGAAGGCCUUCGGGUUGUAAAGUACUUUCAGCGGGGAGGAAGGGAGUAAAGUUAAUACCUUUGCUCAUUGACGUUACCCGCAGAAGAAGCACCGGCUAACUCCGUGCCAGCAGCCGCGGUAAUACGGAGGGUGCAAGCGUUAAUCGGAAUUACUGGGCGUAAAGCGCACGCAGGCGGUUUGUUAAGUCAGAUGUGAAAUCCCCGGGCUCAACCUGGGAACUGCAUCUGAUACUGGCAAGCUUGAGUCUCGUAGAGGGGGGUAGAAUUCCAGGUGUAGCGGUGAAAUGCGUAGAGAUCUGGAGGAAUACCGGUGGCGAAGGCGGCCCCCUGGACGAAGACUGACGCUCAGGUGCGAAAGCGUGGGGAGCAAACAGGAUUAGAUACCCUGGUAGUCCACGCCGUAAACGAUGUCGACUUGGAGGUUGUGCCCUUGAGGCGUGGCUUCCGGAGCUAACGCGUUAAGUCGACCGCCUGGGGAGUACGGCCGCAAGGUUAAAACUCAAAUGAAUUGACGGGGGCCCGCACAAGCGGUGGAGCAUGUGGUUUAAUUCGAUGCAACGCGAAGAACCUUACCUGGUCUUGACAUCCACAGAACUUUCCAGAGAUGGAUUGGUGCCUUCGGGAACCGUGAGACAGGUGCUGCAUGGCUGUCGUCAGCUCGUGUUGUGAAAUGUUGGGUUAAGUCCCGCAACGAGCGCAACCCUUAUCCUUUGUUGCCAGCGGUCCGGCCGGGAACUCAAAGGAGACUGCCAGUGAUAAACUGGAGGAAGGUGGGGAUGACGUCAAGUCAUCAUGGCCCUUACGACCAGGGCUACACACGUGCUACAAUGGCGCAUACAAAGAGAAGCGACCUCGCGAGAGCAAGCGGACCUCAUAAAGUGCGUCGUAGUCCGGAUUGGAGUCUGCAACUCGACUCCAUGAAGUCGGAAUCGCUAGUAAUCGUGGAUCAGAAUGCCACGGUGAAUACGUUCCCGGGCCUUGUACACACCGCCCGUCACACCAUGGGAGUGGGUUGCAAAAGAAGUAGGUAGCUUAACCUUCGGGAGGGCGCUUACCACUUUGUGAUUCAUGACUGGGGUGAAGUCGUAACAAGGUAACCGUAGGGGAACCUGCGGUUGGAUCACCUCCUUACCUUAAAGAAGC
rnacentral:rRNA from 1 species